rnacentral:rRNA from 1 species
UACGUAGGUGGCAAGCGUUGUCCGGAAUUAUUGGGCGUAAAGCGCGCGCAGGCGGUCCUUUAAGUCUGAUGUGAAAGCCCACGGCUCAACCGUGGAGGGUCAUUGGAAACUGAGGGACUUGAGUGCAGGAGAGAAGAGUGGAAUUCCACGUGUAGCGGUGAAAUGACGUAGAUAUCUGAAGGAACACCAGUGGCGAAAGCGGCUUCCUGGUCCAGUACCGACGUUCAGGCACGAAAGCGUGGGGAGCAAACAGG